rnacentral:rRNA from 1 species
UACGUAGGGGGCGAGCGUUGUCCGGAUUUAUUGGGCGUAAAGAGCGUGUAGGCGGUUCGGUAAGUCUGUCGUGAAAACCUGAGGCUCAACCUCGGGCGUGCGAUGGAUACUGCCGGGCUAGAGGAUGGUAGAGGCGAGUGGAAUUCCCGGUGUAGCGGUGAAAUGCGCAGAUAUCAGGAGGAACACCAGCGGCGAAGGCGGCGCUCUGGGCCGGUACUGACGCUGAGGAGCGAAAGCGUGGGUAGCAAACAGG